rnacentral:rRNA from 1 species
UACGUAGCAGCAAGCGUUGUUCGGAGUUACUGGGCGUAAAGGGUGCGUAGGCGGCUUUUUAAGUUUGGUGUGAAAUCUCCCGGCUCAACUGGGAGGUGCGCCGAAUACUGAGAGGCUAGAGUGCGGGAGAGGAAAGUGGAAUUCCUGGUGUAGCGGUGAAAUGCGUAGAUAUCAGGAGGAACACCGGUGGCGAAGGCGGGUCUCUGGGCGAGUAACUGACGCUGGAGGAGCGAAAGCGUGGGGAGCGAACAGG